GACGAACGCUGGCGGCGCGCUUAACACAUGCAAGUCGAACGGGGCGCCUUCGGGUGCCCAGUGGCGAACGGGUGCGUAACACGUGAGCAACCUGCCUGGAGUUGGGGGAUAACCUCGGGAAACCGGGGCUAAUACCGCAUGAGUUCUCAUGCUUGCGUGAGUGUGAGAGGAAAGGGGCUUUCGGGCUCCGACUUCAGAGGGGCUCGCGGCGUAUCAGCUAGACGGUGAGGUAACGGCUCACCGUGGCGACGACGCGUAGGGGGUCUGAGAGGAUGGCCCCCCACAUUGGGACUGAGAUACGGCCCAGACUCCUACGGGAGGCAGCAGUGGGGAAUCUUGCGCAAUGGCCGAAAGGCUGACGCAGCGACGCCGCGUGCGGGAGGACGCCCUUCGGGGUGUAAACCGCUGUCAGAGGGGACGAAUGCCCUGGGGAGGCAAUGCCCUUGGGGAGGGACGGUACCCUCAGAGGAAGCACCGGCUAACUCCGUGCCAGCAGCCGCGGUAAUACGGAGGGUGCGAGCGUUGUUCGGAAUUAUUGGGCGUAAAGCGCGCGUAGGCGGCUCUUCAAGUCUUACGGUGAAAGGCCGGGGCUCAACCCCGAGCAUGCCGGGGAUACUGGGGGGCUGGAGACAGGCAGAGGCCAGCGGAAUUCCGGGUGUAGCGGUGGAAUGCGUAGAGAUCCGGAAGAACACCGGAGGCGAAGGCGGCUGGCUGGGCCUGAUCUGACGCUGAGGUGCGAAAGCGUGGGGAGCGAACAGGAUUAGAUACCCUGGUAGUCCACGCCGUAAACGAUGGGCACUAGAUGCUGGGGGGAUCGACCCCUUCGGUGUCGCAGCUAACGCAUUAAGUGCCCCGCCUGGGGAGUACGGCCGCAAGGCUGA
rnacentral:rRNA from 1 species